AAGCAGAUGAUGAAUUACUUGGAUUCCCCUUCAGACAUCAUGAGUGGUGCAAAAAUCGAGUUUCUGAUGCA